GACGAGAAAUAACGAGACCGAUCUCUUAUGAGGCCGGUCAUCGGAAUGGGUACAAUUUAAACCCUUUAACGAGUAUCUUGAGAGGGCAAGUCUUGCCAGCAGCCGCGGUAAUUCCAGCUCUCAAAAUGCAUAGAAUUAUUGCUGCGGUUAAAAAGCUCGUAGUUGGAUCUGUGCUAGCCGGCCGGUCCACCCACUGGGUGUGCACUGGUUCGGUUGGCUUUUCUGCCGGUCUCUCCCCGGCGUUGGCCUUCACUGGUCGGCGUCGGUGGGCUGGCGAGUUUACUUUGAACAAAUCAAGUGCUUCAAACAGGCGUUUCGCUUGAAUGUUCGUGCAUGGAAUAAUAGAAGAGGAUUUCGGUCCGAUUUUAUUGGUUUUGCUGACCGAGAUAAUGGUUAACAGAGACACAACGGGGCCAUUCGUAUUGCUACGUGAGAGGUGAAAUUCUUGGACCGUAGCAAGACGGACUACAGCGAAAGCAUUUGGCAAGAAUGUCUUCAUUAAUCAAGAACGAAAGUCAGAGGUUC
rnacentral:rRNA from 1 species